ACAAAGAUUUUUCGUUUUUUUUUAUUCUGGGAUCAUAAGGAUUUGAAGGAUAUAUAUUAGGAUCCAAUAGAUGGCAGUAAUGCAACAACUAUGGAUGCAAGCUGUCGUUAAAUCCUAAAGAAGAAGAAAAAGAAGAAGAAGAAGAAGAAGAAGAAGAAGACGACUUUACUGUGUUUGGAUUUUACUGGUAUGCUGGACAACGUCUCGCAUUCAACUCCUCUAGGACGCGAUCCACAACUUUCAGCCAGUCCGCAGACUGACGAGAAGAAACUGCUGAUUGCUAUCAGUGGACUGUCUCGUCAGCUUACUCAACAUACUGCCGACAUGAAUGAGAGGUUCACUCAACUGCAGAAUUCGGUAAACUCCAGGUUGCUGUCCAUAGAGGACAAGAUGGCGGCUCUGCAGUCGAAGAACUGUGCUGGAGAGACUAACUCCAUCAAGAGAAGACGGAUGCACAAAAGCUUGCGUACGCCGUCUUCACAACUCGGAGACAAAUUGCAGGCGCUAUGAACCGGCGCAAGGACUAAGCACGCCUCAUAAUGAGGCAGUUACCUCCUAUCUGCUCGGAGCAAUAACUGCAAGCCUCGAUUUACACUAUAUUGAUAAAGACGACAUUGUGUCCGCCUGUAAGACGUAUUACGAGACGGUACGCA